GGUGCUUCUGUCCCUGCUGUCUGCAGUGGGUACCAUGCUAGGGUUGCUGGCCCAUUCCCUGCAUGUGCCCAGUGAGAGUUGUAGGUGCAAUUGGGGCAAUACAGGGCUGUCUAUAAGGUGGCAUCAGCUUGGCUGCUGUCAGCAUGGCCAUUGCAAUGAUGAGACUGGGAAAAAAGGAGAUGGCGGAGAGAAAGUGACAGCUGAAGUUGGAUGCAGCAGCAGAACCAACAAUUAAGCUGCAGCUUACUUAGCUUACCAGGCUCCACUGCAACAAACCUCCAACUGAAGUAAGGAGGAAGCACUCAAAGGAAGAAAGAAAGGCAUGAGGAAAGAGACUUACAGAAACACAAGAGGAAAGACUCUGAAAAAGCACAUAAAAAUUGUGAAAAUGUAGAACUAUGAAGAAUAGGAGCAGAAGAGGAGGGGUAUGGAAAGCAGAAAAGACAAAAAAGGAAAAAAGAUGGAAGAAAUAUUGAUAUAGACAUCUCUAAGAUUAGGAAAAAAAACCACAAUAUUUUUGUGUUAUUUUUCAUACACAAGUACGAAAUGACUUCUACUUCGAGAUAUUUUGAACCACUAUUGGUCAGGAGGUGAUUGUUAGGUCUAAGUGUUCUGACUGAAUAUAUAUCAGGAGAUGGAUUAUAUAAUGUGCAGACCGAAAAAGAAACAGCACUCAGUGGAAAAUACUGAUUUCAGUAAAAUAGUAUAUGUGGGAGGAACACAUU
rnacentral:lncRNA from 1 species